GGAGGAGCAGAGCUGCGCUGCAAUGUGUCGCUGGUGACCUGCAAUGCUGGAUCAGAGGCUGAAUUUGCCGAAAUUGACAGCAGGGUUUCCGGCGGUACCCCUGGUAUCCUAGCAGGUGUGGUCAGCCAGGAGGCGGACCAGGAGGUGGUGACAGCAGCAGCAGGCCAGUAAGAGAGCUGGGCGCUGACACAGAUCCCCACUGAGAGUCAAGGCGGGAGCGGGGCAGGCCUGCCAAUUUAUGAACACUUGGAAACCAACACAGAUUGAGGAAUAACAGUCUUCGGCCAGUUCCAGAACAAUAAAUACUACCUGUGUAGUGCAUUGAUUGCUAAUAUCCAAGGUGUAAUGCUGUAUGUUCAUCAACAGUUAGAUUGUAUUGGACGUUUCUUCUGAGGACAUCUAAGGAACUUUAACUUUAUGCUUAACUAAUAAAUUAAGUCCUCUUUUAAA